ensembl:lncRNA
GCACACUCAUUAAGGACAGUCCCUUCUUCACUCACACCAAGUUUCAUGUCUCCCACUAGACCACACUAGCGCCACCAACGGGUCAAAGUUGGACUUUUGUUAACACUGUAACUUUUGAACCAUUUGACCGAUUUUCAAAAAUGAGAUACCAUUGGAUUCCCUGGAUCAAGACGAAUUCAACACACCCUAUGGCGUCAAUUUCCGGUUAUAUAGAUUUUCCGCAAUUUCCGGUUUUAUCAAAAACCUUUGAAAGGCAUCAACUCCUACAAUUUUUGUCAAAUCUUCUUCAAAAUCACCAGAGAUGAUCUUCAGACCAAGCCUCACAAAAGUUCUUCAACAGAAUUUUGAUCCUCACAACUGUUUGUCCGGUACAGCCACUGAAAUUCAGCAGAAAAGAUGCCAAACAGGAAGUAAAGUCAUAUCUCAGCAAAUCUUUCAGAUAUCAACACCAAACUUGGUAUGCACGUGGAAGACUCUACAACAUGUUCCCAUGUGCAAAUGCAACUUCAUAUCUUCAAAAAUGAUUGAUAUAAAGCAUUUAUAUUGCAGUGUAAAAAUGUGGCACUAUUUGCCCUAAACGGGCGCCAUCUUGGCUACGUCGCGAAAGAGGAGGAGCUCUCAUCAGCUUUUCAAUUCAUUUCUAAAACAAUGGCGGACGAGAUGGCUACGGUGGCUAGCAAUAGCUCACGAGGCUGCAGACCGUAAAUGUAAGUAUCAGCGGUAAUUAAACAAUUUACUGAUAUUAAAUGCACUACUAACAUGCCAUUCUCAGAUUAAAGCUAGCGACAUGAGUAUUUGGUGGAGUUAGCGAUGUAUACCGACAAUUAGCAUACCAGGCUAGGUAGCAUUAGAUGCCAUUGGAUCUGCAUGACAGUUAUGCUAAGCUAGCUGGCUAAUAUUUACGUGUAUGCUAACUGACGGUCCUUUUGCCAGUCCGAGAAGAUUCACUUUUAUCGGACACGUUUCGCUUGACGAGCGGGGGCAGGUGGCGGCAGAUAGCUAUGUCAGUUACCGGACAGUGUCAAACAACGGCUGUUCUGUUAAACACUCUAAAUUAUAAGUUUAAAAAUGCAGUAACAAUCGAUAUGCUCAGUUUAAUAAUGGGUUAACAUGACAACCUGCUACAUUGGCUUGGCAGAUAGAUAACUGUUUCUCCAAGAGAAAGUCUGAAGCUUUCUUUUCAAACCUUUACUUAGGAAGCACUGUAAAACUGAGCAGACAUACAGAAUACAUUUUAGUAAUCUCAUCUCGUAACAUUCGUUUCUAAAAACAAUCACUUAGCAUUGCAUGUUUAAUUGUGAUAGAAACUUCGUUAGCUUAAUGCUAACUUAUAUGUGAAAUUCCAUAGAGACUGCGUUAGCGAUUAGCAUAUUCAUCAAAGUAAAUAAUUCGAACAAACUUCGGUUCAUUACAAGUGGUUUCCACAAGAAGUAAUGUUUUUAAGUAAUUGUAACGGUAGAAAAGUGCCGUUAGGUACUGUAUAUUGUGGAAGUGUUUAAAUAAGGAUUUGGAUUGUCGUAGUUGUUGUGCUUCAAACAUAUGUAACGGUAGAAAAGUGCCGUUAGUUACAAAGAGAGACAACUGCGGGAGAAACUCGCAAAGAGAAUCUAUCGCUGAAGAAAAUCUUCAUUUCCAAUCUGAGCAGAGACUAGAUAUGUUAAUGACAUGUGGUUCAAUUAAGUACUCACUCUCUUAAACUUUAAAUCUUGAAAGAAAUGAUUUGUUUGUGUUUGUGUGUGUGAACUUGAUUUUGUGUGGUGAAUGUAAACUCAGCUGUCAUUACAAGCAGCAGGAGAGCACCUUGUUAACCUCGUGGUAUACUGCAUGCUCAAAUCAUCAUAGCAUUGUUUAUUUAGGCUGCUCACAUAGCAUUUAUCUUUUUAUUAACAGGCCAAAGAAAAGGACUCACUCUGAAGACUUUUCCAAACAACACUUUGAACAGGUUUCCCCAUCUCCUCCCAUACCAUGGGCCAGAGGAGCACGACCACCUGGGUGAGGAGUUUCUAAAUUAUCAGACCAUGCCAACCACCUCCCUUCAGGACGAAACUGAGAUGGAAAGCUUCUGGGCUGGAAUGGCAACACGGAAACAUAAGGUGGCAGGAACCAAAGAAUUUGAGAGGCUUGUUGCCGUCGCCAAGCUGGUCCUGGUGUUGCCCCAUUCGAAUGCAGAUGCUGAGAGGGUGUUUUCAGUGUUCAGUGGGACUGAACAAAACUAAGACCAGAAAUAGCCUGCCAUUGGAUGGCACCCUGUCUUCAAUAAUGGCCAUAAAGAUGGCCGACCUGGAGCCCUGUUUCAGAUGGGAGCCCCCCUCAGAGGUCAUCAAGGCCUCCAAGAAGGCCACAGGCCAGUACAACCUUGCCCACAGAUCUUAGAAAAUGACUAACCAGGUUCUGAUCUGCACCUGAUACCUCAUUUUUAGUUAUUUUUGUCAUGUGUUGAUCUAUUUUAUUGCUUAAAAAGGCUACUGUUUAAGCACUUUAUUUGUUGCACUUUUUUGUUUGAUGGAACGUGUGGUGGGAGGCUUUGAAUAGUGAAAAAUAUUUCUCCCUAACUAAUCUUGUGUCAUUUUUUGCUGUUCAUAAAUCGUUAAGUGCUCAUAAAUCAUUAAAUACAAUUAUUAACAAUAUAGGUUAGGUUCCAGUUAAGAAUUAGUUGAAUACCAUUGUAAUCAAAAUGUCAAUCAACCUACCUUGGUAAAAUCUUAAACACAGGUCUAUUAAUUAGGCUAUAUUGUGGUACAUAGACAGUCAUUGAGGCACAAGAAUAGUUUUCUGGUUGAAUGUUCAGCUCAAGUCUAAAAGGCCCUACAAGUCAUGAUCAGAUGAACAUGAAUCAGAAUAAGUUCAGGUAUUGCACAUCUUUAGCAUACCACCCAAAAAUCCACUAGAAUGCAGGAAAUAACAUCUACUUAAACCAAAAUGUCCUGGGGGUGGACCUUCAGCUAUGUCUUUGCUUCACAGAAUGUAACCAAUGUUGUCCAUUUCCAGUAGGCCCCACAGUAGGCAGACUUUGGGCCCCAAAAACCAACAGAAUGCAGAGCACAACAUGGGUACAACGCCAAAUUAAUUCCAAUUCCCUGAU